rnacentral:rRNA from 1 species
GUAUAACAACCGGUGGGUGGGAAUCGCCCGAUGCGAGGGUUCGGGGGAUGAAGCCUUUGGGGAAAGUCUUGGGUUGUUAGAUCCCCCUGAUUUGGACCGAGCUUGUUUAGGUGUUCCAGACUCGUUGGGAAAGUUUUUCCGGUGCAAGUGAUGAAGCGUCUCGGGCCGUGAUCAGGCGUCGUUUUGGUUGGGUAAUUGCCGUACCCAAGGGCUGUCUGACCGGGUAGCCGGCGCUGGAGAAGGGUGUUACGGCCCACAUUGGGAUUGAGAUGCGGCCCCAGACUCCUACGGGGAGGCAGCAAUUGGGGAAUAUGCACAAUGGCGGAAGCCUGAUGCAGCGACGCCGCUGGGGGAUGAAGGCCUUCGGGUUGUAAACUCCUUUCGACAGGGACGAAGCGGUAAGGUGACGGUACCUGUAUAAGAAGCACCGGCUAACUACGUGCCAGCAGCCGCGGUAAUACGUAGGGUGCGAGCGUUGUCCGGAAUUACUGGGCGUAAAAGAGCUCGUAGGUGGUUUUCGCGUCGUCUGUGAAAUUCCGGGGCUUAACUCCGGGCGUUCAGGCGAUACGGGCUGACUUGAGUGCUGUAGGGGAGACUGGAAUUCCUGGUGUACGGUGAAAUGCGCAGAUAUCAGGAGGGACACCGAUGGCGAAGGCAGGUCUCUGGGCAGUAACUGACGCUGAGGAGCGAAAGCAUGGGUAGCGAACAGGAUUAGAUACCUGGUAGUCCAUGCCGUAAACGGUGGGCGCUAGGUGUAGGGGGCUUCCACGACUUCUGUGCCGUAGCUAACGCAUUAAGCGCCCCGCCUGGGGAGUACGGCCGCAAG